rnacentral:rRNA from 1 species
UGGGGAAUUUUGCACAAUGGAGGAAACUCUGAUGCAGCGACGCCGCGUGAGUGAUGAAGAUCUUCGGAUUGUAAAACUCUGUCCUUAGUGAAGAUAAUGACAGUAACUAAGAAGCAAGCCCUGGCUAAAUACGUGCCAGCAGCCGCGGUAAUACGUAUGGGGCAAGCGUUGUCCGGAAUUAUUGGGCGUAAAGGGUACGUAGGCGGUUUAAUAAGUCCUAAUUAAAAGGCUAUGGCUCAACCAUAGUAUGGUUAGGAAACUGUUGAACUUGGGUAGAUGAGGGGAAAGUGGAAUUCCAUGUGUAGCGGUGAAAUGCGUAGAUAUAUGGAGGAACACCAAUGGCGAAGGCAACUUUCUGGAAUCAAACUGACGCUGGGGUACGAAGGCGUGGGGGGCAAACAGG